UACGGGGGGGGCAAGCGUUGUUCGGAAUUACUGGGCGUAAAGGGCUCGUAGGUGGCCAACUAAGUCAGACGUGAAAUCCCUCGGCUUAACCGGGGAACUGCGUCUGAUACUGGAUGGCUUGAGUUUGGGAGAGGGACGCGGAAUUCCAGGUGUAGCGGUGAAAUGCGUAGAUAUCUGGAGGAACACCGGUGGCGAAGGCGGCAUUCUGGACCAUAACUGACACUGAGAGACGAAAGCCAGGGGAGCAAACGGG
rnacentral:rRNA from 1 species